ACUCCUACGGGAGGCAGCAGUGGGGAAUUUUGGACAAUGGGCGAAAGCCUGAUCCAGCAAUGCCGCGUGCAGGAUGAAGGCCUUCGGGUUGUAAACUGCUUUUGUACGGAACGAAAAAGCUCCUUCUAAUACAGGGGGCCCAUGACGGUACCGUAAGAAUAAGCACCGGCUAACUACGUGCCAGCAGCCGCGGUAAUACGUAGGGUGCGAGCGUUAAUCGGAAUUACUGGGCGUAAAGCGUGCGCAGGCGGUUAUGUAAGACAGAUGUGAAAUCCCCGGGCUCAACCUGGGAACUGCAUUUGUGACUGCAUGGCUAGAGUACGGUAGAGGGGGAUGGAAUUCCGCGUGUAGCAGUGAAAUGCGUAGAUAUGCGGAGGAACACCGAUGGCGAAGGCAAUCCCCUGGACCUGUACUGACGCUCAUGCACGAAAGCGUGGGGAGCAAACAGGAUUAGAUACCCCAGUAGUCCCAUG
rnacentral:rRNA from 1 species